CGUGUUGUGAACUAGGCUGCGCUAGCCCACGGUGGUUAACGGAUGUUUUGUCAUUCAACAUCCGACCUUGAGCGGCAGUCCGGCAGCUGUAUUACUUAAAUAAACAAAUAAAUGUAAUGGGGGUGUUGUAAUGGU